AGCAGCCGCCACGGUAAUACGUAGGGUGCAAGCGUUAAUCGGAAUUACUGGGCGUAAAGCGUGCGCAGGCGGUUAUAUAAGACAGAUGUGAAAUCCCCGGGCUCAACCUGGGAACUGCAUUUGUGACUGUAUAGCUAGAGUACGGCAGAGGGGGAUGGAAUUCCGCGUGUAGCAGUGAAAUGCGUAGAUAUGCGGAGGAACACCGAUGGCGAAGGCAAUCCCCUGGGCCUGUACUGACGCUCAUGCACGAAAGCGUGGGGAGCAAACAGGAUUAGAUACCCCAGUAGUCCCUGUCUCUUAUAA
rnacentral:rRNA from 1 species